AGAGUUUGAUUCUGGCUCAGAACGAACGCUGGCGGCGUGGAUAAGACAUGCAAGUCGAACGAGAGAAUUGCUAGCUUGCUAAUAAUUCUCUAGUGGCGCACGGGUGAGUAACACGUGAGUAACCUGCCCCCGAGAGCGGGAUAGCCCUGGGAAACUGGGAUUAAUACCGCAUAGUAUCGAAAGAUUAAAGCAGCAAUGCGCUUGGGGAUGGGCUCGCGGCCUAUUAGUUAGUUGGUGAGGUAACGGCUCACCAAGGCGAUGACGGGUAGCCGGUCUGAGAGGAUGUCCGGCCACACUGGAACUGAGACACGGUCCAGACACCUACGGGUGGCAGCAGUCGAGAAUCAUUCACAAUGGGGGAAACCCUGAUGGUGCGACGCCGCGUGGGGGAAUGAAGGUCUUCGGAUUGUAAACCCCUGUCAUGUGGGAGCAAAUUAAAAAGAUAGUACCACAAGAGGAAGAGACGGCUAACUCUGUGCCAGCAGCCGCGGUAAUACAGAGGUCUCAAGCGUUGUUCGGAAUCACUGGGCGUAAAGCGUGCGUAGGCUGUUUCGUAAGUCGUGUGUGAAAGGCGCGGGCUCAACCCGCGGACGGCACAUGAUACUGCGAGACUAGAGUAAUGGAGGGGGAACCGGAAUUCUCGGUGUAGCAGUGAAAUGCGUAGAUAUCGAGAGGAACACUCGUGGCGAAGGCGGGUUCCUGGACAUUAACUGACGCUGAGGCACGAAGGCCAGGGGAGCGAAAGGGAUUAGAUACCCCUGUAGUCCUGGCAGUAAACGGUGCACGCUUGGUGUGCGGGGAAUCGACCCCCUGCGUGCCGGAGCUAACGCGUUAAGCGUGCCGCCUGGGGAGUACGGUCGCAAGAUUAAAACUCAAAGAAAUUGACGGGGACCCGCACAAGCGGUGGAGUAUGUGGCUUAAUUCGAUGCAACGCGAAGAACCUUACCUGGGCUUGACAUGUAAUGAACAACAUGUGAAAGCAUGCGACUCUUCGGAGGCGUUACACAGGUGCUGCAUGGCCGUCGUCAGCUCGUGUCGUGAGAUGUUUGGUUAAGUCCAGCAACGAGCGCAACCCCUGUUUCCAGUUACCAGCACGUGAAGGUGGGGACUCUGGCGAGACUGCCCAGAUCAACUGGGAGGAAGGUGGGGACGACGUCAGGUCAGUAUGGCCCUUAUGCCCAGGGCUGCACACGUACUACAAUGCCCAGUACAGAGGGGGCCGAAGCCGCGAGGCGGAGGAAAUCCUGAAAACUGGGCCCAGUUCGGACUGUAGGCUGCAAC
rnacentral:rRNA from 1 species